rnacentral:rRNA from 1 species
UUAAAUUGAAGAGUUUGAUCAUGGCUCAGAUUGAACGCUGGCGGCAGGCCUAACACAUGCAAGUCGAACGGUAACAGGAAGCGCUUGCUGCUUCGCUGACGAGUGGCGGACGGGUGAGUAA